UCGUGUCGUGAGAUGUUGGGUUAAGUCCCGCAACGAGCGCAACCCUCACCCCUUGUUGCCAUCAGGUGAUGCUGGGCACUCUAGGGGAACUGCCCCAGUCAACGGGGAGGAAGGUGGGGAUGACGUCAAGUCAUCAUGCCCCUUACGCCCUGGGCUACACACGUGCUACAAUGGCCGGUACAAAGGGAUGCAAUACCGCGAGGUGGAGCUAAACCCAGAAAGCCGGUCUAAGUUCAGAUUGGAGUCUGCAACUCGACUCCAUGAAGGAGGAAUCGCUAGUAAUCGC
rnacentral:rRNA from 1 species